ACCAGCAGCUUCUCAUCUACGAGGAUCCACCGGAGUCAUCUUAGGAAUCCUCCGCGUCCGAGAUCAUGCUAUGUACCUAUUAGUGUCUCCAAAAGGUUUCUUUCCCUUUCUUGUUCUCCAUCAAUUUCAACUUACAAUGUCAAUACUUUAGUUUUCAUCUUACUGCUCCUAAAUCCUUAUUGCACAUGUGAAAUCAAAUUUUCUAUAUGCCUUGGGUAAAGCUGAAAAUCAAGUUUGUGAUUAUCAAUCUCAAUUGGAGACACUCAAUCAUAAUUUCCAAAAAGUUUGUAGGAACUCGCUGCCGCAAAAGGCCUACAGGAUCAACUUUUGAAAGAAGUUAUUGAACGAUUGAUAUACAGUUGAACAGUAAACUCCAGCAGUUACAAACUAAAAGAAAAAGAAAAUGGGAGAAUGGAUACUUUUGUUUGUAGAGCAGAGAUAAAUGGAGGAAAACAGUGGUUGAUGGAGGCGAGAUUCAAGGGGAAAGUAAGGUCUGGUAACACAUGUGAGAGGAAAUGGGAUGAGGAGUAAGAGAAAAGACGAAUGAGAGAGGUCGCAGCGGCCAAGAUAGAGAGAGAAUAAAGUCGGAUUUUUAGAAAUUUGGAUAAUAUAUUUUGGCUCUGCUAAUAUUUGGUCGGGUCCUUUAUUUUUUUCCAGGAAAAGUUGUUCUUUCAAUUGUUGAGGCUUUUGGUUAUAUUGCAAGACUAUAAUGUUAUGUUAACCUUAUUUCAAAGAAGCACAAUCUAUUACGAUAUGUUCAAUUAAUUAUGGCUCUGAUUUUCUCUAUCUAAGAAAUAUAUAAGAAAGAAUACUUAUUUUAUACCACACAUUUCAUCAUAAUAUAAAAUUUACAUGGUGAAUGUUACUACUUCAACAAAUCACACAAUUUUAAUCAAGGCAAGUAGCCUUAAAUUUUGAAAAAAAAUUAUAUGGUGCUUUCAU